rnacentral:tRNA from 2 species
GGAAGGGUGGCCGAGUGGUUUAAGGCACCGGUCUUGAAAACCGGCGUGCCCUCACGGGUACCGUGGGUUCGAAUCCCACCCCUUCCGCCA